UACGAAGGGGGCUAGCGUUGCUCGGAAUCACUGGGCGUAAAGGGUGCGUAGGCGGGUCUUUAAGUCAGGGGUGAAAUCCUGGAGCUCAACUCCAGAACUGCCUUUGAUACUGAAGAUCUUGAGUUCGGGGAGAGGUGAGUGGAACUGCGAGUGUAGAGGUGAAAUUCGUAGAUAUUCGCAAGAACACCAGUGGCGAAGGCGGCUCACUGGCCCGAUACUGACGCUGAGGCACGAAAGCGU
rnacentral:rRNA from 1 species